CUGAUUGAGACCCUAGUCUGUUGCAGGAUGACCCAUUUACAGCUGAGUGGACUGGGGCAAAGCGAAAUGAAGGGUUUUGCUCAUUUGAUAUACAUAUGCAUUCGACGGGCUUCCGUCUACCUAAUCCACUCACAAGGUACAGGUCAGUUCGAGGCUUUAGUAGAAGACACUUGCCCAGUGUGCGAUGCAGUGGGACUGAACCCAGGAGCAUCUGGUUGGGGAGCAAACUUCUUACCACACAGCCAUGCCUGCGUCUAUUGUUUCUAAUUUGACAAUAACAAUUCAUAGGUCAAAGGGGCAUGCAAUGUCAACUAAAUAGCAUUUGUGUUGCACCAUGUCCACUAUUGUCCGGUCUGUUAUGCUCUAGCACUUGAUAUCUGUUUGGAUUGGGAAAUCCCAGAGGGUUUUGCUAGUCUCCAACUCCACCACUCUCUACAGUUUAUGCUCAUACCAUGUCUUGCUUCACUCUAACCCCCACUUUUUGCACAGUUUCCAAUAUAGCACUUUCACUAACUGGUUGUGAUGCCAUAACUUGCGGCAAGUCUAGGGCAUUCGUUCAUGAUAUGGGCAACAGUUUCAUCCACCCCAUUGCAAAUGUGGUACAGCAGAGAAACUGGUUCAUUCCUAAGGUUGUCCCUCCAUAAAUUAACAUGAGAUUUCAAUGGAAGGUUUUAAUUUAGAUCACUUUAAAACCAGAGAUUUGUUUCAUAGACCCACGGUUAGUCACAACAGUUCUGUAUCAAGACAGGUUAAAUGGAUUGACUUAACAUUCCAACUGUUAUAUUCACAAACAAACAACUUCUCAUAAGAUUAAUCAAUAGUGUGUGUAUGGUUGUUACUUGGUAAGGUGAUUUAUAGCACCAUAAAUUGGAAUAUUAAAUCUGCAGGUCACACCCAAGCAUUCCAGUUGCUCCAAUGAUCACCUGCAUGCCAUAGGUUUUUGGCCCAGAGACAAUCUAGUCAAAAGGGAGCUAAACAACAGCAAACACAGCCUGUCAACUCACCCAGGCUUUGUUUGGGUAAAGGAGGUGAUUUGGUUGCUGUUUCUAGCAGCCUGGUUGACUCACUCAUUGUUGGCUGGGGUAACGUCCUGUUUAAUGGUAAUCUAUAUUAUGUCUGUUGCUAAGAAACUGUUUUCUAGGUGUAUUAUGGUGGCAGCAGUGGUGGUGGAUUGAAGAGGGGUGGUGGUGAAAUAGUAGGGUGGUGGUGGUGGUGGUGGUGAAAUGGUAGGGUGGUGUUGUUGUUGGCACUAGUGAUAGCAUUGGUGGCAUAGCAGAGUAGGGGGAUAGUUGUAGUGGUCAUCUUUCUGAGAGUGCUGAAAAAUUCCUGGUUUUGGACAAAAGAAAAUACAAGUGUGGAUCUAUUAAUUAUGAUUCUAUUCAACACAUUCCCUUCUCACAUUCACACACUUAUUGCAACGGUCCUUCAGUUUUUCUAAGCCAUGUAAAAGAACGCGGAAUGUUGAGCCUCCAACCAGGCAUUUCGUGAUACCCUUAAGGCCAGGAACUUUCCAGCAACCACUUAACAGAAUGUGACACCAACAGCAGUGGGGCCACCAAGUACCUUGGAAGACAAAGACCCCCUGGGAAUGGAACAGAGGAAGGUGGCUUUGUUUGUGCUGGAUGAGAGAUUAAAGCAUAACAGAGCCAUAGGGACAAGGGUCUUACAAUGGAGGAGAUACUUGCUUACCCCAGGAGGAAAAGAAAGAAAAGGCAAAAGUGAUAGAGGUCAGGAGACAAACAGAGUGCAAAAAAGAGAAAUGGUGUUGGAAUGCAAUAUGAAGUAAUUGAGAAUCACAAUUCAAUGAUUUCUCCCUGCUCUAUAUCACAAUUUAUGCAAUGACACCCCCAUACAGAGUAUCACAGAUCAGGCAGUAAGUUAGCUCAAGCAACGACAACAACAGUGAUGGUGACCUAAUCUGUGUGUUUGUGUGUUGGAUGACCUAAAUUUGAUCACUGUAAAGGUAGGAGAAAGAAACCAAAAAAGGAAAUACCUGUAAUUUUCCAUGAUGAGGUAAAGAUAUUCAGGUAAAAAUAAAAAAUGCAAAAUAAAAUAGUUUCUGUUGUUGGAAAUGUCAGAUUAAUGAGAGAUAAAAAGAAGAUAAGAGAUUUAAUGAUUCAAUCCCCAUGCGUGUGUGUGUGAGGAGAAAAGCAACACCCUAAUGUCAUCAGUUCAACGUAUAUAGAUUGGUUGUUGGGUGACACUAAUUAAACAUACAUAUCGAAAUGUAUAUAAAUAUACAUGCGCGCGUGUAUGAGUGAAUAUAUCUCUGUAAGUGUGUGCGUAUGUAUACAUUAUAUGCUACAUAUUAUCUAUAUAAAUAUAUAUAUAUAUAUAUAUAUACUGAUUUAUUUGUUUCUGUUAUUUGACUGGAGCACUGCCUUUUAGUCGAAGAAAUCGAUCCCAGGCCUUAUUCUUUUCACUGGACUGCAACCAUGCUGGAAUGAUGCCUUGAAGGGUUUUAUUCAAACAAAUUGUCUCCAGUACAUAUUCUGCGACGAAUUAAGACACA